rnacentral:rRNA from 1 species
UACAGAGGGGGCAAGCGUUGUUCGGAAUUACUGGGCGUAAAGGCGCGUAGGCGGCCUGUUAAGUCGAACGUGAAAUCCCCGGGCUCAACCCGGGAACUGCGUCCGAGUACUGGCAGGCUUGAAUCCGGGAGAGGGAUGUGGAAUUCCAGGUGUAGCGGUGAAAUGCGUAGAUAUCUGGAGGAAUACCGGUGGCGAAGGCGGCGAUCC